AUUGAACGCUGGCGGCAUGCCUUACACAUGCAAGUCGAACGGUAACGCGGGGCAACCUGGCGACGAGUGGCGAACGGGUGAGUAAUGCAUCGGAACGUGCCCAGUAUUGGGGGAUAGCCCGGCGAAAGCCGGAUUAAUACCGCGUACGACCUACGGGUGAGAGGGGGGGAUCGCAAGACCUCUCGCUAUUGGAGCGGCCGAUGUCAGAUUAGGUAGUUGGUGGGGUAAAGGCCUACCAAGCCGACGAUCUGUAGCUGGUCUGAGAGGACGACCAGCCACACUGGGACCGAGACACGGCCCAGACUCCUACGGGAGGCAGCGGUGGGGAAUUUUGGACAAUGGGCGCAAGCCUGAUCCAGCCAUGCCGCGUGCGGGAAGAAGGCCUUCGGGUUGUAAACCGCUUUUGUCAGGGAAGAAAUCUUCUGGGUUAAUACCUCGGGAGGAUGACGGUACCUGAAGAAUAAGCACCGGCUAACUACGUGCCAUCAGCCGCGGUAAUA
rnacentral:rRNA from 1 species